GACGAACGCUGGCGGCGUGCCUAAUACAUGCAAGUAGGACGCACAGUUUAUACCGUAGCUUGCUACACCAUAGACUGUGAGUUGCGAACGGGUGAGUAACGCGUAGGUAACCUGCCUAUUAGAGGGGGAUAACUAUUGGAAACGAUAGCUAAUACCGCAUAACAGUGUGUAACACAUGUUAGAUGCUUGAAAGAUGCAAUUGCAUCGCUAGUAGGUGGACCUGCGUUGUAUUAGCUAGUAGGUAGGGUAAUGGCCUACCUAGGCGACGAUACAUAGCCGACCUGAGAGGGUGAUCGGCCACACUGGGACUGAGACACGGCCCAGACUCCUACGGGAGGCAGCAGUAGGGAAUCUUCGGCAAUGGGGGGAACCCUGACCGAGCAACGCCGCGUGAGUGAAGAAGGUUUUCGGAUCGUAAAGCUCUGUUGUUAAGGAAGAACGAGUGUGAGAAUGGAAAGUUCAUACU
rnacentral:rRNA from 1 species